rnacentral:rRNA from 1 species
CCUACGGGAGGCUGCAGUGGGGAAUAUUGGGCAAUGGGCGCAAGCCUGACCCAGCAACGCCGCGUGAAGGAAGAAGGCUUUCGGGUUGUAAACCUCUUUUUAUAGGGAAGAGCAGAAGACGGUACCUCUUGAAUAAGCCACGGCUAACUACGUGCCAGCAGCCGCCGUAAUACGUAGGUGGCAAGCGUUGUCCGGAUUUACUGGGUGGAAAGGGCGUGUAGCCGGGCUGACAAGUCAGAUGUGAAAUCCGGGGGCUCAACCCCCGAACUGCAUUUGACACUGUUGGUCUUGAGUAUCGGAGAGGCAGGCGGAAUUCCUAGUGUAGCGGUGAAAUGCGUAGAUAUUAGGAGGAACACCAGUGGCGAAGGCGGCCUGCUGGACGACAACUGACGGUGAGGCGCGAAAGCGUGGGGAGCAAACAGGAUCAGAUACCCGAGUAGUC